rnacentral:rRNA from 1 species
ACCCGCACAAGCAGCGGAGCGUGUGGUUUAAUUCGAUGCUACACGAAGAACCUUACCAGGGUUUGACAUGCAAGUGGUAGGAAACUGAAAAGGGACCGACCCUUCGGGGAGCUUGCACAGGUGCUGCAUGGCUGUCGUCAGCUCGUGUCGUGAGAUGUUCGGUUAAGUCCGCUAACGAGCGCAACCCUCACUGUGUGUUAUAUGUGUCACACGGGACUGCCGGUUUUAAGCCGGAGGAAGGUGGGGAUGACGUCAAGUCAGCAUGGCCUUUAUAUCCUGGGCUACACACACGCUACAAUGGUCGGUACAAUAGGUUGCCAAGCCGCGAGGCGGAGCCAAUCCAAAAAAGCCGGCCUCAGUUCAGAUUGUAGGCUGCAACUCGCCUGCAUGAAGAUGGAGUUGCUAGUAACCGCAGGUCAGCAAUACUGCGGUGAAUACGUUCCCGGGGCUU